rnacentral:rRNA from 1 species
UACGUAGGUGGCAAGCGUUAUCCGGAUUUAUUGGGCGUAAAGAGAACGCAGGCGGUCUUUUAAGUCUGAUGUGAAAGCCUUCGGCUUAACCGGAGUAGUGCAUUGGAAACUGGGAGACUUGAGUGCAGAAGAGGAGAGUGGAACUCCAUGUGUAGCGGUGAAAUGCGUAGAUAUAUGGAAGAACACCAGUGGCGAAAGCGGCUCUCUGGUCUGUAACUGACGCUGAGGUACGAAAGCGUGGGUAGCAAACAGG